ACGCACGCUGGCGGCGUGCUUAACCCAUGCCCGUCGAACGGAAAGGCCCUGCUUUUGUGGGGUGCUCGAGUGGCGAACGGGUGAGUAACACGUGAGUAACCUGCCCUUGACUUUGGGAUAACUUCAGGAAACUGGGGCUAAUACCGGAUAGGAGCUCCUGCUGCAUGGUGGGGGUUGGAAAGUUUCGGCGGUUGGGGAUGGACUCGCGGCUUAUCAGCUUGUUGGUGGGGUAGUGGCUUACCAAGGCUUUGACGGGUAGCCGGCCUGAGAGGGUGACCGGCCACAUUGGGACUGAGAUACGGCCCAGACUCCUACGGGAGGCAGCAGUGGGGAAUAUUGCACAAUGGGCGGAAGCCUGAUGCAGCAACGCCGCGUGCGGGAUGACGGCCUUCGGGUUGUAAACCGCUUUCGCCUGUGACGAAGCGUGAGUGACGGUAAUGGGUAAAGAAGCACCGGCUAACUACGUG
rnacentral:rRNA from 1 species